rnacentral:rRNA from 1 species
UACAGAGGUGGCAAGCGUUGUUCGGAAUUACUGGGCGUAAAGGGCGCGUAGGCGGUUCGUUAAGUCCUGUGUGAAAUCCCCCGGCUCAACUGGGGAACUGCACAGGAAACUAGCGGGCUUGAGUUCGGGAGAGGGAAGCGGAAUUCCGGGUGUAGCGGUGAAAUGCGUAGAUAUCGGAAGGAACGCCGGUGGCGAAAGCGACGUGCUGGACCUCUUCUGACGCUGAGGCGCGAAAGCUAGGGGAGCAAACGGG